rnacentral:lncRNA from 1 species
GGAUGCGUAGCUGUGCCUCCGAGGCCUGCUUCGGGACCAAGGGUGGCAUAGCCCUGUUCCUCUGCAGGACUCAUCACAGCCAGGGAGGCCCCUCUUCUGGUGUUUUCAGACUCAAGGACACCGAGACUCACUUCUUUCUCAUGACAUAACCUCCAAGUUACAACACUCAGAAGCUGUCAGUGGUCAUAUUUUCUGUCUUAGACAAAACCAGUCUUCUGGGAAAAGAACAAAUGAGGCUGAUCUGCAGCAAGAAGCAAAAACAAGAACCUGGUGGGGCUGCUGUGGCUUGCAAAUCCCUGGUUCCAGAUGUCUCUAAGGCCCACCCACAUCCCCGCCCCUCUGCUGGCUCAAUUAUUGGGCUGUUUCUUAGAUUCUGUGAGAUGCUCCAAGAUCC